rnacentral:rRNA from 1 species
AGUGAACGCUGGCGGUAGGCCUAACACAUGCAAGUCGAACGGCAGCACAGUAAGAGCUUGCCCUUACGGGUGGCGAGUGGCGGACGGGUGAGGAAUACAUCGGAAUCUACUUUUUCGUGGGGGAUAACGUAGGGAAACUUACGCUAAUACCGCAUACGACCUACGGGUGAAAGCAGGGGAUCUUCGGACCUUGCGCGAUUGAAUGAGCCGAUGUCGGAUUAGCUAGUUGGCGGGGUAAAGGCCCACCAAGGCGACGAUCCGUAGCUGGUCUGAGAGGAUGAUCAGCCACACUGGAACUGAGACACGGUCCAGACUCCUACGGGAGGCAGCAGUGGGGAAUAUUGGACAAAGGGCGCAAGCCUGAUCCAGCCAUACCGCGUGGGUGAAGAAGGCCUUCGGGUUGUAAAGCCCUUUUGUUGGGAAAGAAAAGCAGCAGGUUAAUACCCCGCUGUUCUGACGGUACCCAAAGAAUAAGCACCGGCUAACUUCGUG